rnacentral:rRNA from 1 species
UCCAGACUCCUACGGGAGGCAGCAGUGGGGGAUAUUGCACAAUGGGGGGAACCCUGAUGCAGCGACGCCGCGUGGGUGAAGGAGCGUUUCGGCGCGUAAAGCCCUAUCGGCAGGGAAGAAGGAGGACGGUACCUGACUAAGAAGCCCCGGCUAACUACGUGCCAGCAGCCGCGGUAAUACGUAGGGGGCAAGCGUUAUCCGGAUUUACUGGGUGUAAAGGGGGCGCAGACGGCAGCGCAAGCCAGGAGUGAAAGCCCGGGGCCCAACCCCGGGACUGCUCUUGGAACUGCGCGGCUGGAGUGCAGGAGGGGCAGGCGGAAUUCCUGGUGUAGCGGUGAAAUGCGUAGAUAUCAGGAGGAACACCGGUGGCGAAGGCGGCCUGCUGGACUGCGACUGACGUUGAGGCCCGAAAGCGUGGGGAGCAAACAGGAUUAGAUCCCCUAGUA